GUCAGACAACUUCCGUUCUGACUCUUUACUUCCGGUGUGAUUUCGCCUCGGUGACCUGUCUGGAUAAUUCAAAAUUCAUUCAUAUUGCUCACCAUCUUUACAAUAUUGCGAAAGCAGCAGCCCACCUAACAAGCAUGGCACAGUCAUCAAGACGUUAUUGCAUUGUGCCAUGCUAAAAUCCUUAGUGGGAGCACCCACAUAUGCAGUCAGCACUUUGCCCCAGGGGACCUAAAUACAUCAGCCAGUGGAGAAUCUGGAUUAGACAUGCAGCGGUGCCAUGUAGAUUUUACUGGAAUGAUUGGGGUAAAGGGAGGAGGACAGGGUGUGACAGUGUCUAAAACAGUGGUUCUCAAAUCCAGGCCUCGUGGCCCAGUGUCCUGCAGGUUUUAGAUGAGUCUCUGCUUCAACACACCUGAGUCAAAUAUAGAAGUCAUUAGCAGGACUCUGGAGAACUUGACUACAUACUGAGAAGGUAAUUCAGCCAUUUGAUUCAGGUGUGUUGGAUCAGGGACACAUCAAAAACCUGCAGGACACUGGGCCAUGAGGCCUGGAUUUGAGAACCACUGGUCUAAAAGGAGACAAACCAGUUCAGAGCCUCCCUGCCCCUUCAACUCACACUUCUUGGAUGAACAUUCAUUACUGCAAACAGCUGUGUUGGAAAUAAAAUCUGUGCUUUUAAUUUUAUAGCUGUUAAUGAAUGAAUUUAUGUUGUGAAGAAUUCUGUAAAAUCUUUUGUAAAUAGUGUUUCUUGAGUGAUAUGCAUACGUACAUCUUUUACAUUUAAAUUGUAUCUUUUUGUACAUUUUACACAUCUGGCUCAAUGGAGCAUGUGGAAGAGAAGAAAUGGUCAAAUUAAAGCUUCCAUUGUGGAACAAAAACAAGCUUUGUGGCAGUUUCUUGAAAACAUUCAUUUGAUAAUUCUAUUAAACACUGUACAUGGA